AAUUGAUAAUUUUUUUCUAUGCAUAUUAAUAAAGGAAACUAUUACAACUAGCAACGGCUACCGGUUAUCACAAGGGCAACAGUUUGAUUUCUUUAGAGAGAGGGCAGCCGUUUGAUUUGUCGGAUCUGAUUUGUCAAAUUAAUUAUGUGCAUUGGUGACAUUUAAAACUGAGUCAAAUAAUUAAAAUAUGGGACACAUACAUUUUCCUAACCGGGUUAGAUAUUUUUGUGCUUGUGUGGUUCUGCAGGUGCGGGUACAUAAAUCUACUUAAAUGCUGCUUCUUUUUCACA
rnacentral:misc_RNA from 1 species